ensembl:lncRNA
GCGUCUUUGCUUACAAGAGGCAAUCUGAUUGGCUGCCUCUGCGGCCUCGCUGCCUUGUGAGGUAUCGGCCGGGGAGCGGGAGGUCUCGUCUUCCUUCCGGCCCGGCUCUCCAGGAGGAGGAAGCGGGCGGAAUUCCGUGGCUCUCGCGAGCAUUUCCCCAGCUUCUAUGGGCUAGAAUGGGGGUGCUUCUUAAAGGGAGAGAGAGAGAGGGACAGUUGUCGUCUUUCGUUCUUCCCCCUUGACCCGAAUGGAUAUCUGAAGCUCUACGACGCAAAUCUAGUUUCUCGGACACGUACGUACGAACGUGAGGUCAACGGCGUUAAAGAAGCGUGGAGGAAACGUCUCAAUGAGGUUCAACUUUAUCGCUUGCUGACCGAGUGCGGCGGGCUGUUUGUGCAUCGUGUCUUCGCGAACAAAAGUUCAGAAUCCUGGCGAUAGGUCGAGAUCAGAAACUUCGCCGAUCCUGGAGCCGAUCGACUGCUCAGGGGUGAAGAAAUGUUUCAGUGCUAACUAAUAUGGGUUCACUUUGGAUUUAGGACUUUUGGGGCUUGAAGGAGUCAGGGGUUGCCUGAGAUUGGAGACCCAAGAUAUCUGAGAGCAUGCGUGUUUUGUUCUUAACUGUUGAUCGUGGAGGUGGGGAGAAUUAGAACUUUUACUUUAUGAGUUAAGCUUUCCAAUUGUCUCCUUUCGCUUAACUUGGGUGCAUUCAAAUAUUUGACCUCGAAGCAAUUACUAGAUCUCGUUUUUCUAGGAAUAAAAGUGAACAGAGUAAGUAAUGAAAUCCUAAUGGAGUUCACAGUCUAGUUGAGUUUAUAAUCGCUCGUAAUCUUUAGUAGACUUUAGUGUGUUUGAGACAGGAUCUUGAUGUUGACUUUAAACUCUGACGAUACUCAUGCCCCAGUCUUCUGAAUGAUGGGAUUACAGGUGUGAACCACUAAGCCCAGAUAAUUUUUUCAUAUAUUUUUUUUUUGGUUCUUUUUUUUUUUUUUCGGAGCUGGGGACCGAACCUAGGGCCUUGCGCUUGCUAGGCAAGCGCUCUACCACUGAGCUAAAUCCCCAACCCCUUUUUCAUAUUUUAUAUGAAAAAAUAACUGCAGAAAUAUUUAAGUACUUUAGGAACUCCGAGAGUGUAUGACAAGAAAUCUAAUUCUGAAAUGAGGCAUGGAGAAUGAGUAAUUUUGUCAGAGGGAGUCUAACAUAUUUGAGGAGAUACUAAAAAGGCAGAAUGCUGCAACAGCAGGGGAAGAAGACAUUGGGGCCAAGCCUACCAUUUGAAAGGCAGUGGAUUCAUCUGCAGGAUUCAUCAUAGCAGGAAGAACCAGAGGACACACAGGUCCAGGGCCCAGAACCCUCCUUGACCUUAUUCCAUGUAUCAUCAAGCUGUUAUUCUGUAUCUUUUGUAAUAGCCUUUGGAAAGGAUAAAUUGUUGCCUUGAAUUCUGUGAGCCACUCUAGCAAGAUAUCAAACCCAGCCAGACCUGUCAGGUGCAUGCAUAGGUCUUAACCUGGAACUCUUAAUGGGCAUCCAAAGCUGGGGUAGACUAGAGACCGCCCUCUACUUGUGGGAUCUAGUGUUAACCCCAGGUAGUGUUCGAACUGACCUGAACACCCAGCUGGUGCUUAAUAUGGAAAAAACUUAGGCCUUUGGCCACAGAGGUUGAAUGUAAACAGUAGAAUGGAAAGUGUCUUUCCUGGGUAUUAAGGAUGCUGGAAAACACUGUACCACCUAAAUGCUCUGUAUCUGCAACCCUUUCCUAAGUUGUCUUUAAGUGAUACAUUGUUGUUGCCACGCUGUUGUUUUUCUGCCCCAGUGUCCCACAAUAGAUUUUUGUAUAGUGGUAGAACAUUCGCCUGGCAUAGUAACAAAGCUCUGAAUUUCUACUAUCACUGGGAGUGAAAAGCCUGUCUGUGGUGCCUGCUUGUAGUUCUAGCUACACCUAGAGUAGUCUGUAGCUACUUACACCCACUCUACAGAGAUUGAGAUGGUCAGUUCAGUUCAGGAAUUGGAGAGAAGCUCAGGAAACAUAGACUACCAUCUCAAACAAAUAAAUUGGACCUGGGUAGCAGGGGAAGGCCUAAAAUUCCUAUUCUUAAAAAAUCGAGGCAGGAGGAUCUUGAGUUCAAGGGCUGUCCAAGCUACUGAAUAAAUUUAAGGGCAGCCUAGGCUAUGUGACCCUGUCUCAAAUGAAUAAUUUUUAAAAAUGGAGUGGGGUUGGAGGUAUUGGGGCUGGUUGUGGUGUUGAACACCUUUAAUUCCAGCACUUUGGAGGCAGAGGCAGGCAGGUCUCUUGAGUUCAAUGACAGCCUGCUUUAGCGAUACUAGGACAGAGGGCUAUACAGAGAAACGUGUGUGUGUGUGUGUGUGUGUGUGUGUGUGUGUGUGUGUUGUGGACGACACGAGGGUCGGGGUGGGGUGAUCUGACAGAUGGUUCAGCAGCUAAGAAUAUUUAUAUUGGCUGCUCAAGAAGAAUGUGGGUUUGAUCCCAGCAUCCAAAUAAUGGCUUUAUUCCAGUUCCAGGGCACAUGUGCACAUAUAUACAUGCAGGCGGACACAUACACAUAAAAAAAUUAAAACCAUUAUGUUUAAAAAUGACAAACAAUGAAAAGGCUGGGGCCCUAGUUGAGUGACCGUGUGUAUGCUAAUUGUGUGUAAAGCCAUUCCUCAACACCCAGAAAAAGUAUUAGUAUCUGGUUUUACAUUCAGUGCCUGGUUAUUUCUGCUUUAAGAAUUUAAGACAUUAUUUUAGGACUCAUGUGCUCUGAUCAAAGGGAUUGCUUUUACUGUUUUCAAGACAGGGUCUAACUGCACUCCAACCUGGCUCCAAACUUAGGGAGUCCCUCAGCCUCCUAGAUGUUGGGAUUACAGGUGUGAGCCACAUACUUGAUGGAAGUCUUAAUAUGAAUUAUAUAUGAAAAUGAAUCAAUGUUAAAUCUUCUGAUUUUGAUAAUUAUGGGGAUCAUAUACAAUGCAUGCUGAAAUACUUUAAUGGUUAAGCAUGAAUAUGAAAUGUGGAAGGUAAAUGUUAAUUCAAUCUGUAUGUAAAGUGUUCACUAUACUAUUAAUGCGGUUUUUGUUGUGUUCCAGCUUCUCUAAGACUUAGAUUUGAAGGUUUUAAAGUUGAAGGAAUAUUAAUCCACUCAUGAAAAUAGCAUAAUAGAGAAACCUAGAAAGUAAGAAAGCUGUGGCUUUAAUAAAUCUUUGAGGUAGGGCCUACAGGAAGUUGCUUAUAGAUGUGAGGGUUGUACCCGUCUGAAUGGAUUGAUGCUAAUAAAAGAGCUUGACGCUGCAAGCUCAACCACUUGCCUACUCUGCCAUUACAUUUGUGAAAUAGUUGUCAAGACUUUC